AAACUUAAAUGAAUUGACGGGGACCCGCACAAGCGGUGGAUGAUGUGGAUUAAUUCGAUGCAACGCGAAAACCUUACCUACCCUUGACAUGUCCGGAAUCCCGAAGAGAUUUGGGAGUGCUCGAAAGAGAGCCGGAACACAGGUGCUGCAUGGCUGUCGUCAGCUCGUGUCGUGAGAUGUUGGGUUAAGUCCCGCAACGAGCGCAACCCUUAUCAUUAGUUGCCAUCAUUCAGUUGGGCACUCUAAUGAGACUGCCGGUGACAAACCGGAGGAAGGUGGGGAUGACGUCAAGUCCUCAUGGCCCUUAUGGGUAGGGCUUCACACGUCAUACAAUGGUCGGUACAGAGGGUUGCCAACCCGCGAGGGGGAGCUAAUCUCACAAAGCCGAUCGUAGUCCGGAUCGCAGUCUGCAACUCGACUGCGUGAAGUCGGAAUCGCUAGUAAUCGUGGAUCAGCAUGUCACGGUGAAUACGUUCCCGGGUCUUGUACACACCGCCCGUCACACCAUGGGAGUGGGUUUCACCAGAAGUAGGUAGUCUAACCGCAAGGAGGGCGCUUACCACGGUGGGGUUCAUGACUGGGGUGAAGUCGUAACAAGGUAGCCGUAGGGGAACCUGCGGCUGGAUCACCUCCUUUAUG
rnacentral:rRNA from 1 species